AAAUUGAAGAGUUUGAUCAUGGCUCAGAUUGAACGCUGGCGGCAGGCCUAACACAUGCAAGUCGAACGGUAACAGGAAGCAGCUUGCUGCUUCGCUGACGAGUGGCGGACGGGUGAGUAAUGUCUGGGAAACUGCCUGAUGGAGGGGGGUAACUACUGGAAACGGUGGCUAAUACCGCAUAACGUCGCAAGACCAAAGAGGGGGACCUUCGGGCCUCUUGCCAUCAGAUGUGCCCAGAUGGGAUUAGCUGGUAGGUGGGGUAACGGCUCACCUAGGCGACGAUCCCUAGCUGGUCUGAGAGGAUGACCAGCCACACUGGAACUGAGACACGGUCCAGACUCCUACGGGAGGCAGCAGUGGGGAAUAUUGCACAAUGGGCGCAAGCCUGAUGCAGCCAUGCCGCGUGUAUGAAGAAGGCCUUCGGGUUGUAAAGUACUUUCAGCGGGGAGGAAGGUG
rnacentral:rRNA from 1 species